AGCUUAUGCAAUAAGACAAGAAGACUCAUUCUUCUUUUCUGUUGACUUGGUCUGUGACGCUUAUCUCAGCAAAAUCCUAGUCCCCAGGCUUUCCUUGAUAAACCAGAAUCGGAAUUGGAUUAGGAAAAGGCCACUCCUAAAGAAGGGAACUGGGACACUGAUGGAAACUGAUGGAGCCAAUGUCAGAAAGACACUAGCUGCAGGAGGAUACCCAGCAAAUUAAUAGGCUGAUUUUAAGAAACCCCAUCCCCAAAGGCAAAGGAUGUAAACAGAAGACUGGAAAACAGAAAGAGAAGACAAAAGAAAAAAAAUCUUUCCAAUUCUUUCUUAAAAAAAAGAGGUUCACCUCCUUUAAACAAGCCAACAAGAGGAGGUCUAUAGGUAGAGCAGAUGCAGCCUGGAGAAGAAUUUGUUUUUUAAAGUGAAAUGUGAGCAUUCACCUUGUCUUCCAUUCCUGUUAUUAACAAGAAUAACCUUUUUAAUAAAAUUGAAUAGUUCAUUAUUAGUCAGUCUCCAUGCAGGAUAAUUGAUUUUUGCUAUAUUCUUAAUCUCCACAUCCAGUUGCACUGUGGUCUGGUUAGAAUACACAACACAACUGCCUGUAUGUCCACCGAGCAGUAUUAGAAGAAACAAAAACACAAAAUACAGAUUUUUACUAUAAGAGCAAACACUUUUCCUGUAUUUACCUCAAGCAUUUUUCUAAACAUGUUCUGCCUACAUAUUUAUAAAGUGUGUUUAUACACAACUGUCCAAAUAAAAGGCCUAUAGUAGGAAUUCAACCAUAAUUACACACUUGUGUGUCACAUGGUUUGGCCAUUUUGAACUGUGUCAAAUAACAUUAUGUUUGUCCUUCAUACUUGAUAGGUGAAGGAUUGAUGAUAGUUGUGUAGCUUAAAGCUUUCUUAAAUAAUAUAACUCUCUUAAAUAAUUCAGUGCCAGAGCUUCAUCAUUACUGAGGUUUAUUAGCUUUUUCUUCAACAAGUAAGUUGUAACAUUUCCAUAUUUUGCUACAUGUCAUGACUGACUUUGUACUGAAUGAAAUAGCAAAAUGCUUGUAACGCUAGUCAUGGAAGGCUUCACCUCAACUAUGGUUUGGUGCAAAAACAAAACAAAAAACCCACAAUCCUUACACAAAACCAGAAAAAGCUGG